GGGCAUGUUAGAGCCCACCAAGGAGCCACUGAAACCACUGUCAGCUGCAGAAAAAAUUGCUUCUAUUGGUCAGACAACCAUUAUGACACCAGAAAUGAACACGUGUACAUCUGAUCCAUUCCAGGAGUCUCUCCCACCUGUCCAGUUUGACUGGAGUAGCAGUGGCCUUACUAACCCUUUAGAUGCUAGUGGAGGUUCCGCUCUCCUGAACCUUGAUUUCUUUGGGCCCGUGGAUGACAGUAGCUCUAGCAGCAGCACAAUCCCAGGUGUGGAUCCAGAGUUGUAUGAAUUAACAACUGCUAAGCUGGAGACCUCCACCU
rnacentral:lncRNA from 1 species